rnacentral:lncRNA from 1 species
UAGCAAGGUCGACAUUGCUUUUGCUGGUUUGUCUGCUUAGUAGGUAAAGGGGGUUGAGAGUCUGGCAGUUUGCAUUGGCAAAAAUCACCACUAGACAUUUUAUUUUAAAAUUGGCACUGACCUGGGUGGGGUGAGGGAUUGUCAAUUUGUUUUUAUUUUGAGGCCAGGCAUAGUCAUAAAGCAUGUAGGCCACCUGGAAAC